GUGACUUAGUGGCGGACGGGUGAGUAACGCGUGGGUAACCUGCCUUAUGCAGGGGGAUAACAGUAGAAAUGGACUGCUAAUACCGCAUAAGCGCACAGCACCGCAUGAUGCAGUGUGAAAAGAUUUAUCGGCAUAAGACUGGACCCGCGUCUGAUUAGGUAGUUGGUGAGGUAACGGCCCACCAAGCCUGCGAUCAGUAGCCGACUUGAGAGAGUGAUCGGCCACAUUGGGACUGAGACACGGCCCAGACUCCUACGGGAGGCAGCAGUAGGGAAUAUUGCACAAUGGGGGAAACCCUGAUGCAGCGACGCCGCGUGAGUGAUUGAAGCAUUUCGGUGCGUAAAGCUCUAUCAGCAGGGAAGAUAAUGACGGUACCUGACUAAGAAGCCCCGGCUAACUACGUGCCAGCAGCUGC
rnacentral:rRNA from 1 species